ACCAAAUGUUCGCUUUAUGCUGUUUGAUGACUCUAUUUUGCACAUAGACUUCACAUGUUUUCCAGUAUGUUUCUUUUGGUGCAUAAGUUAUGGAGGAUGUUAUGUCUUGCACUUCCUGGAAUUUGUUGAAGUGGGUACAGGUUGGCUAUAUAAUACUUGAAGUACAUUGCAAGAGAAAGAUAUGGGGUUAAAUCCAAGUGCACUCUAAGAGAAAGAUAUGAGGUUAUGUAAAAAGUAAUGCUUUUCUGUUCUCACCAAUUUUUGCGACUGCAACACUUGUUUUGGUUUCAUAUGCAGCUUUGCCGCUUGAUUCAUUAAAUUCUUUAUAUUCAAAGACAGAUCAGAUCAGAUCAUCAUUAUGACUAUUUGCAGCAAUUUCACCAGAUACACCAUUCAUUACACGCUGUUUAGGCCAAUAACAUUUAUGUACCUUUUAUACUAGCAACAUUACAGGCUGUUUAGGCCAAUAACAUUUAUGUACCUUUUAUACUAGCAACAAUUGAAGUAACCAACCUUACCCCAAAAAAAAAAAAAGAAAGAAACAAAAGUAACCAACUAAAAUUCCGGGGG
rnacentral:lncRNA from 1 species